rnacentral:ncRNA from 2 species
GCGCAUUCCCAGGGGAGCCCCGAUAGGGGGCUGAGAUUCCGCCGGCCGUAUGCGCGACGCGGAGACCCUUUGAACCUGAUCCGGGUCGUGCCGGCGUAGGAAGGGGAGAGACGGCCGCAU